rnacentral:rRNA from 1 species
GUCUACGGCCAUGCCACCCUGAACGAGGCUGAUUCCAUCUGAUCUCGGAAGAUAAGCAGGGUCAGGCCUGGUUAGUACUUGGAUGGGAGACCACCUAG